rnacentral:rRNA from 1 species
CGCAAAGCCGCGAGGUGGAGCAAAUCCCAAAAAGUCGUCUCAGUUCGGAUCGCAGGCUGCAACCCGCCUGCGUGAAGUCGGAAUUGCUAGUAAUCGCGGAUCAGCAUGCCGCGGUGAAUACGUUCCCGGGCCUUGUACACACCGCCCGUCACACCAUGAGAGUCGGUAACACCCGAAGUCGGUAGCCUAACCGCAAGGAGGGCGCCGCCGAAGGUGGGAUUGAUGAUUAGGGUGAAGUCGUAACAAGGUAUC